rnacentral:lncRNA from 1 species
GCCAGCCUGCAGAGAGGCUGGGCCCAGCGCCCUGACUGACCCAGCCCCGCCACGUCCAAGGUUCCCGCCCUCUGGAGGAAGCCGCGCAAUCACUCCGGGGGCGGGGAGAGACAGACAACUGAGAGGAAGGAGGUACCACGGGCACUCUCUCGCGAGAGGGCCGCAGAGCCGCCUUUGACGGGGGCGUGUACCUGGAGAGCAACGGAGCCUAUGAGGUUGGUCCUAUUUUUACUCUCACUUAUCCCUACUUACCAGAUGAGGAUCCUGAGGCUCAGAAAAACUCUUGACAAAAUUCUCAGGGAAAACUCUUCAGCUCUGGAUGUCUCCCUUUUUGUGGAUCAAACACAAAGGGCAUCAUUCUAAAAUAUAUACAGAACCAUAAAAGCCCCAAAUAGCCAAAGCAACCCUGAGCAAAAAGAACAAGGCUGGAAGCAUCACACUACCAGACUUCAAAAUUUACUACAAAGCUCUAAUACCUAAAAUAACAUGGUACUGGCAUUAAAAAAAAAAAAAAAAUAGGCACAUAGACCACCAAUGAAACAGUAUAGAGAAUCUAGAUAUACCAACUCAUCUUUAACAAAGGUGCCAAGAACAUACAAUGAGGAAACGAUGGUCUUUUCAAUAAAUGGUGUGGGGGAAAGCUAGAUAACUAUAUGCAGAAGAAUGAAACAAGAUUCCUCUCUCUCGCUAUACACAAAAAUCAAAUCAAAAUGGAUUAAAGGCUUAAAUCUAAGACCUGAAACUACAAAACUAGAAGAACACACUGGAGAAGUGCUCCAGGACCUUGGUCUGGGAAAAGAUUUUUUUGUUUAAGACCUCAAAAGCACAGACAACAAAGCAAAAACAGACAAAUGAGAUUACAUUAAGCUAAAAAGUUUCUGCACAGCAAAGGAAACACUCAACAGAGUGGGGGAGACAACCCACAGAAUGAGAGAAAACAUUUUCAAACUAUCCAUCCGACAAGGGAUUAAUGACCAGAAUAAAGAGACCAAACAAUUUAAGCCAAAAACAAAACAAACAAACACACAAAAAAAACAAAAGCCAAAUAAUCUAAAAAGUGGGCAGGUUGGGUGGGGUGGCUCAAGCCUAUAAUCCCAGCACUUUGGGAGGCCAAGGCAGGCAGGUCAAGAGAUCGAGACCAUCCUGGCCAACAUGGUGAAACCCCAUCUCUACUGAAAAUACAAAAAAAAUUAGCCGGGUGUGGUGGCAUGUGCCUGUAGUCCCAGCUACUUGGGAAGCUGAGGCAGUGAGAAUCGCUUGAACCUGGGAGGCAGAGGUUGCAGUGAACCAAGAUCACACAACUGCACUCCAGCCUGAUGACAGAGCGAGACUCCAUCUUGAAAAAAAAAAAAAAAAAAGUGGGCAAAAGAUCCAAACAGACAUUUCUCAAAGGAAGACAUAAAAAUGGCCAACAGGUAUAUGAAAAAAUGCUCAACAUUACUAAUCAUUAGAGAAAUGCAAAUUAAAACAACAUGUUAUUUCACCCCAGUUAAAAUGGCUUGUAUUAAGAAAACAGAUAAUAACAGAUGCUAGUGAGGAUGUGGAGAAAAGAGAACCCUCAUACACUGUUGGUAGAAAUGUAAACUAGUACAACCACUAUGAAGAACAGUAUGGAAGUUCUUCAAAAAACUAAAAAUAGAAUUACCAUAUGAUCCAGCAAUUCCACUACUGAAUAUGUAUCCAAAAGAAAGGAAAUCCGUAUAUCAAAAAGAUAUCUGCACUCCCAUGUUUAUUGCAGCAUUGUUCACAAUAGCCAAGAUAUGGAAUUAACCUAAGUGCCCAUCAAUGGGUGAAUGGAUAAAGUGUGGUGGAUGGAAAGCCGAUUUCCAGUCUUUAUGAUAACGCCGAUGUUCCACUUGGGAAAGAUACUGUACAACAAUGAAAGUAGCCCUUUCUUUUGUCUUUCAAAGAAUGUAUUUUUAACAAACAGCCUCUGUGUGAUCCUUUUGACCACACAAUUUGUAGAGUUAACGCUGAAAUUUUCAUUAGCAACAAUGAAAGCACACACAGGCACAAUAUUAAUAUAGAUUAAUAUCAGCCUAUUUUGGUCAGAAAGGCUCAUUUAAAUGUUUAAGAGACAGAAGUCCCAAAUUGUAGUAAUUUCUUCCACUAGCAGGAGGAAGCUCAGAAUUAGUUUUUCUACAACACUAGAGGAAUACUACUCAAAAAUAAAAAGGAAUUAACCAUUGAUACAUGCAACAACACAGAUGAAUCUCAAAGUAAUUGUGCUGAAAGAAACCAGACCCAGAAAAAGAUAAAUUCUAUAUGAUCUCAUUUAUAUAAGACUCUAGGAAAUGCAAACUAAUCUACACAUACAGAAAACUGAGGGCAGGUACUGAGAAGGGUAGGAGGGGGGCGUUACAGAGAGGCAUGAGGAAACUUUUUGGGGUGAUAGAUAUGUUUACUACUUUGAUUGUAAGGAUGAGGUCGCAACUCUGUGCGUGUCAGUGGUAUAUUUUAAUAUGAACGGCUUAUUUUAUGUAAAUUCUACCCCUAUAAAGCUGUUUUUUUUAAAAAAAAAAACUUCUCUUUGAGAGACAUCACCUUUGUCUUUUAAACCAUCUAAUGUUGAAUCUAAAAGUUCAGUGUAAAGUUUAAUAAAAUCAGAGUGUGUAUGUGUCUUAAUUUCCAGGACAUAUAAUCAUAGUGAUUAAGCCAAAAGUGCUUAUAUGAUUACCUAUAAACUAUCAUAGUUAAAUGACUAAAUACCCUGCAUAAGGUAAAAUGAUUAUUUUAUUCCUAUAGAUUGAAAUUGCCCAACUUUUUAUUAGAGAAUAAUAGAUUAGAGGGCAUGUUGGCUCAUACCUGUAAGCCCAAUGCUUUGGGAGGCUGAAGCGGGAGGAUCCCUUGAGGCCAGGAGUUGAAGAUCAGCUUGGGCAACAUAGCAAGACCACAUCUCUACAAAAAAAUUUAAAAUAAAAUGUUUAUCCAAGCAUAGUGGCACUCACUCACCUGUAGUACUAGCUGCUGAGGAAGCUGAGGCCUGGAGUUCAAACUGCACAACGCUGCACUUCAACCUAUGUGACAAAGUGAGAUCCUAUCUCUAAAAUAAUUAAUUCAGUUUUUAUAAUUAGGGAACAUUUAAAUUCAGAUUAUAAGUAAAAAAUGGAAUAAACAGUCCUGUUACCUGAUAUGGUUUGGAUCUCCAUCCCUACCCAAAUCUUAUGUUGAAAUGUAAUCCCCAAUGCUGGAGGUGGGGCCUGGUGGGAGAUGAUUGGAUCAUGGUGGUGGUUUCUCAUGGUUUAACACCAUCGUCCCCUGGUGCUGUCGCCGUGAUGAUGAAUUCUCACGAGAUCUGGUUGGUUUAAAAGUGUGUGGCACCUCCCCCUUCUCUCUUGCUCCUGCUCCUACCAUGUGAGAUGCCUUGGUCCCCCUUUGCCUUCCGCCAUGAUUCAGAGUUCUCUGAGGCCUCCCCAGAAGCAGAUGCUGCCAUGCUUUCUGUACAGCCUGCAGAACCGUAAGCCAAUUAAACCUCUUUUCUUAUACAUUACCCAGUGUCAGAUAUUUCUUUAUAGCAGUGUGAGAAUGGAUUAAUACACUACGUCAUGCAAAAUGUAAAAACAGGCAACUCACUGAGAGUAAACCUAAUCAACUUGUUCAUUUAGAUAUAAACUGUAGAGACGACACUGCCAUCUAGUUGUUGAAUACUGAGUAUACUGUUGAAACAUUCUUGACAAUGUUCUAUUUCUCUUUUGUAGACUUACAAGGAACACACAGAAGCCCCUAACCAAUUACAUCUCCUUCCUAGGAGUGUGAAUGUGACUGCCAUAGUGCAGCCCAUGCUGCCCCUGGUAAUUAUAUGCCUCAACCCAAGCAGGAGCUUGUGAAAAAUGUGAGAGAAAGGACAAUGUCAUGUACCCCCAGUGUGAAGUAUAGCACCUGGAGAUAGCAGGCAUUCAAUAACUACUGGAUGGAUGGAGGCAUUAUGAAGUUUGCCAAGUUUGUUAACACUACUAAAGGUUUCAAUGAAUGUAAAAACAGUGGCAGAUGGGUGGUUUUCUUGACUGUGGGAAAGGUAAAAUAGUAUAAAGUACUAGCAAGUAUAAACACAGGCAUACCUCAUUUUAUUGCAUUUUGCUUUACUGUACUUUGCAGAUACUGCAUUUUUUACAAAUUAAAGGUUUAUGGCAACCCUCCAACAAACAAGUCUGUUAAUGCCACCCCAAAGUCAUGUGCUCAUUUUGUGUCUCUGUGUCACAUUUUGGUAAUUCCUGCAAUAUUUCAAACUUUGUAUUAUUAUUAUUUCUGUUACAGUGAUCUGUGGUCAGUGAUCUUUGAUGUUACUAUUUUGACCGUUUGUGGGCACCACAAACUGUGCCCAUAUAACAUCAGCGAACUUAAUAAAUGGUGUGUGUGUUCGGACUGCUCUACCAACCGGCCAUCCCCCUAUCUUUCUCCCUCUCCUCAAACCUCCUUAUUCCCUGAGACACAAUACUGAAAUCAGGCCAAUUAAUCACCCUGCAAUGGCCUCCCAGUGUUCAAGUUAAAAGAAGACUUGUACAUCUCUCAUUGUAAAUCAAAAGCUAGAAAUGGUUAAGCUUAAUGAAGAGGCAUGUCAAAAGCCAAGACAGGCUAAAAAAGCUAGGGUCUUGUGCCAAACCAUUAAUUCUUGAAGGAAAUUAGAAGUGUUACUCCAGUAAACACCUAAGAAAACCUUAUUGCUGAUACGGAGAAAAAGUUUUAGUGGUCUGGAUAGAAAAUCAAACCAGCCACAACAUUCCCUUAGGCCAAAGCCUAAUCCAGAGCAAGGUUCUAAAUUCAAUUCUAUGAAGACUGAGAGGUAAGGAAGCUACAGAAGUUUGAAGCUAGUAGAGGUUGGUUUAUGAGGUUUAAAGAAAGAAGUCAUCUCCAUAAAUAAAAGUGCAAGGUGAAGCAGAAAGUGCUGAUGUAGAAGCUGCAGGAGUUUAUCCAGAUCCAGCUAAGACCAUUGUUAAAGGUGGCUAUACUCAGUAACAGAUUUUCAAUGUAGAUGUAACAAGCCUUUUAUUGGAAGAAGCCACCUUAGACUUUCACCGCUACAGAGAAGUCAGUGCCUGGCUUCAAAUCUUCCAAGAACCGGCUGACUUGUUAAAAGCUAAUGCUGCUGGUGACUUUAUAUUGAAGCCAAUGCUCAUUUGCCAUUCUGAAAAUCCUAGGGCCCUUAACAAUUAUGCUAAAUCUACUCUGCCUGUACUCUAUAAAUGGGACAAAGCCUGGAAGACAGCACAUCUGUUUACAGCAUGAUUUACUGAAUAUUUUAAGCCCACCAUUGAGAUCUACUGCACAAAAAGAUUCCUUUCAAAAUAUUGCUGCUCAUUAACAAUCAUCUCGUAUCCCAAGAGCUCAGACGGAGAUGGACAACGAGAUUCAUGCUGUUUUCAAGCCUGCUAACACAAUGUCCACUCUAUAGCCCAUAGACCAUGGAGCAAUUUCAACUUUCAAGUCUUAUGAUUUAAGAAAUACAUGUUGUAAGGCUAUUGCUGCCAUAAAUAGUGAUUUCUCUGAUGGAUCUGUGCAAAGUAAAUUGAAAACUUUCUGGAAAGGAUUCACUAUUCUAGAUAUCAAUAAGAACAUUCAUGAUUCAUGGGAUGAGGGCAAAAUAUCAUUUACUGGAGUUUAGAAGUUGUUUCCUGUCCUCAGAGAUGACUUUUAAGGGUUCAAGACUUCAAUGGAGGAAGUAACUGCAGAUGUGGUAGAAAUUGCAAGAUAACUAGAAUUAGGCCAGGUGUGGUGGCUCAAGCCUAUAAUCCCAGCACUUUGGGAGGCUAAAGUGGGCAGAUCGCUUGAGGCCAGGAGUUUGAGACCAGCCUGGAGUGAAACCCUGUCUCUACAAAAAAUGCAAAAAAUUAGCCAGGCAUGGUGGCGUGUACCUGUAGUCCCAGCUACUCUAGAGGCUAAAGUGGGAGGAUCACUUGGGCCCAAGAGGUAGAGGCUGCAGUGAGCUGUGAUGGUGCCACUGCACUCCAGCCCGGGGGCAGAGCAAGACCCUAUCUCAAAAAGAAAAAAGGCCAGACGUGGUGGCUCAUGCCUGUAACUCCAGCACUUUGGGAGGCCAAGGCGGGAAGAUCAUUUGAGCUCAGAAGUUCAAGACCAACCUGGGCAACAUGGCAAAAUCCUGUCUCUACUAAAAAUACAAAAAUUAGCCAGGUGUAGUGGCACGCACCUGCAGUCUUAGUUCUUGGGAGGG